GGAGGAGAAGAAACUUACGAGGAUUCCCCUAGUAACGGUGAGCGAACCGGGAGAAGACCAGCUUAGGAAUCGGGCGGCCGUGCCAUUCGAAUUGUAGUCUGGAGAAGCGUCCUCAGCGACCGACAGGGAGGGUGAGAGCCCCGUCUGGCCUGGACCCUGUCGCACCACGAGGCGCUAUCGGCGAGUCGGGUUAUUUGGGAAUGCAGCCCCAAUUGGGCGGUAAAUUUCAUCCAAGGCUAAAUAGCGACGAGAGACUGAUAGCGAACAAGUACCGUGAGGGAAAGAUGAAAAGGACUUUGAAAAGAGAGUCAAAGAGUGCUUGAAAUUAUCUGGAGGGAAGCAGAUGGGGGCCGGCGAUGCAUGCCGGUUGGAUGCGGAAUGGCCCUUACUGGGGCCGGUCCGCCACUCGGCUCGGUGUGAAGACUGUUGCGGGCCACGUCGGAGGCCUAAGCCCGGGUGGUCGAUCCCGCCCUUGGAUACGUUGUCGCCGUGGCAGGGGAAGUAGCGCGCGCCGCCUCGACGCGCCCCUUCGGGGGCACCAGCGCGCUCUUGGCACCGGCCCGUGGGCUCCCCAUCCGACCCGACUUGAAACACGGACCAAGGAGUCUGACAUGCGUGCGAGCCGACGAGCAUGAAAACCUGGAAGGCGCAGGAAGCUGAUGGGCGGGAUCCCCCUUGCGGGGUGCACCGCCGACCGACCCUAAUCUUCUGUGAAUGGUUCGAGUGGAAGCAUACCUGUCGGGACCCGAAAGAUGGUGAACUAUGCCUGAGCGGGGCAAAGCAAGAGGAAACAUUGUUGGAGGCCCACAGCGAUACUGACGUGCAAAUCGUUCAUCUGACUUGGGUAUAGUGGCCAAAGACUAAUCAAACCAUCUAGUAGCUAGUUCCCUCUAAAGUUUCCCUCAGGAUAACUGGAGUUCGCGUGUGAGUUCUAUCGGGUAAAGCCAAUAAUUAGAGGAAUCGGGGGCGCAACGCCCUCGACCUAUUCUCAAACUUCAAAUAGGUAGGACGAAACAGCUGCUUGGGUGAGCUGUGCCACGAAAUUGAGAGCUCCAAGUAGGCCAUUUUUGGUAAGCAGAACUGGCGAUGCGGGAUGAACCGAAAGCCGGGUUACGAUGCCCAACUGCGCGUAAGAUAGCAGGACGGUGGUCAUGUAAGUCAAAAUCCUUUAAGGAGUGUGUAACAACUCAUCCUG
rnacentral:rRNA from 1 species